GACUUGGUCUGGCGGUCUGCCUCACGGUUUGUACUGUCGGACCGAGCCUUACCUCUUGGUGAGCCGGCAUGUCCUUUACUGGGUGUGUCGGGGAACCAGGACUUUUACUUUGAGAAAAUUAGAGUGUUCAAAGCAGGCCUUUGCUCGAAUAUGUUAGCAUGGAAUAAUAAAACAGGACGU
rnacentral:rRNA from 1 species